GGCUGUUGCAACUUCACAUAUGGUGCUCUGCUUGACCACUUGCUCUGCAAGUUCUGCGAGAAGGCUGCAUUUGUUUCAGACCUGCCAGAGUGUCUGGGACAGCAGUCCUACAAACAACUCCUUGUUUUCCCGUUUCCUUGACCCUAUUGCCAGGCCAAGGCAAAGGGUCUGCCAUGGGCGGCUGCAUGUAAUUUCAUAGGCUGUGCAUCUGAAGUUGACCUCUGCUAUCUGUUUCCUUGUCAUCUCAAACAAGGGAUAAUGCUCUCCUGGGAACAGUUUCACCUCGAAGAGACAGGCAGCUCCUCAAAACAAUAUGGUUAAUCUUCAAGAAUUUGUCUGCCAGCUGUCUUCCAGGAAGCAGAAUCAAGGAAUGGCCUGGUUAUCAAGGGUGGCUGGCUGGAGACCUCCUCUGCCUUCUCCUCUACCAUUGUCACUCUUGCUAUGAUUUACUUAAGGUAUGUUCUGAACCAGUGGAACAAAUGUUCUGUGCUCUCAAAGGCAAAAACUGCCUUGGAAACCAAAGUCAAACCCAAAGAAGGGAAGUGAUGGCCACUCAUUUUGUUACAAACCUCCACCUCAUUUCUGGAGUCCUGUCUGAGAUUUUCAAAUAUAUGAAAUGACACAUAUCUUAAUUUCUCACCUUGGAAAGCUCUCUGAAAUCUCUGCCGGAAAUUCAAGCUAUCUCCCACUUCAGCAAAGUUUCAGCAUGGGAACCUAAAAGGAAAGCAAGAGUCUGGUGUUUUACUGGCACUCUGCUGAAAAAGCAAAUUACCAAAGAAUUCAUGAUGUACUAUUCAAACUUGUGGCCACUGGGAACACGUCUAUCACUUUCAGUUUGCAUCCACAGUGAUGUCUCUGUAUUUUGUAAGCAGUUUUAGUAGUUAGAGCUCUCUGAAUGUUUCACACAUGCAUGGAAAUUACCAAAGUUGUUGCUGGUCAGUUUGGGAUUGAAAGUGAUGGCACAUCAGUAGUCUCUUCUAUACAGAAACAGUGAGGAAAAAGGAG
ensembl:lncRNA